rnacentral:SRP_RNA from 1 species
GCCAGGCGUAGUGGUGCACACCUGUAGUCUCAGCUACUCAAGAGGCUGAGACAGGAGGAUGGUUGGAGCCCAGGAGGUUGAGUCUGCAGUGAGCCAGGAUCACACCACUGCACUCCAGCCUGGGCAACAGAACCAGAUCCUGUCUCGA